rnacentral:rRNA from 1 species
CAAUAGCGUAUAUUAAAGUUGUUGCAGUUAAAAAGCUCGUAGUUGGAUUUCUGGUGGGAGCGAUCGGUCUGGCGCUUAGCGCGAGUACUUGCAUCGUCUCCGGCCAUCCUUGGGGCGAGUCUGUCUGGCAUUAAGUUGUCGGGCAGAGGAUCCUCAUCGUUUACUGUGAAAAAAUUAGAGUGUUCAAAGCAGGCUUAUGCCGUUGAAUAUAUUAGCAUGGAAUAAUAAGAUAGGACUUUGGUACUAUUUUGUUGGUUUGCGCACCAAAGUAAUGAUUAAUAGGGACAGUUGGGGGUAUUCGUAUUCCGUUGUCAGAGGUGAAAUUCUUGGAUUUACGGAAGACGAACUACUGCGAAAGCAUUUACCAAGGAUGUUUUCAUUAA